rnacentral:rRNA from 1 species
CCUACGGGAGGCUGCAGUGAGGAAUAUUGGUCAAUGGACGAGAGUCUGAACCAGCCAAGUCGCGUGAAGGAUGACUGCCCUAUGGGUUGUAAACUUCUUUUAUAUGGGAAUAAAACGUUCCACGUGUGGGAUUUUGUAUGUACCAUAUGAAUAAGGAUCGGCUAACUCCGUGCCAGCAGCCGCGGUAAUACGGAGGAUCCGAGCGUUAUCCGGAUUUAUUGGGUUUAAAGGGAGCGUAGGUGGAUUGUUAAGUCAGUUGUGAAAGUUUGCGGCUCAACCGUAAAAUUGCAGUUGAAACUGGCAGUCUUGAGUACAGUAGAGGUGGGCGGAAUUCGUGGUGUAGCGGUGAAAUGCUUAGAUAUCACGAAGAACUCCGAUUGCGAAGGCAGUUCACUGGACUGCAACUGACACUGAGGCUCGAAAGUGUGGGUAUCAAACAGGAUUAGAUACCCGUGUAGUC